rnacentral:lncRNA from 1 species
UAAAAACACUAAAAUUUAUAAUUUUAUCUAAAAUUUAUAAAUAUUAGUUAAAACACUAAAAUUUAUAAUUUUUACUACUAUAUAUUAUAAAUAUUACUUAACAAAACUAUGGAAUACCUAAACGGCGCCGUUUCAAUAUAAAAUUUGAUUUCGUAGUGGCGUUUCCACUAAAAACGCCGCAAUAAACGAGACAUUAGCGGCGUUUGGAAUAAAAACGCCACAAAAAUUCUUAAUUUUAUAGACAAAACGGCGUAGCUUUAGUCUGCAAUUUUAAUGGCUUUAGCGGCGCUAGGGAAAAACGCCACUAAAUGUGCGCAUUAGCGGCGCGUUUAUAAAAACGCCGCAAGGUUGGGCUGUUGUUUAAACAAAACGUCACCGUUUUUGUGGGCAUUAGUGGCGUUACUGUAGAAACGCCGCAAAUUUUCAAUUAUUUCUGCUUCCAAAUUUCCCCAUACCCGAAAACCUUGGUUCUAUUCCCCUCCCUAUUUUCCCCAAAAUUCCCCCAAAUAAAGAACCUUAGCCUGCUGCCCUCGACGAGGCAGACCUUCCCCAAAUCUGCUGCAUCGUCGCACUCGUGGACCGUCGCAGGCCUCUACCGUCACACUCCUCU